GACGAACGCUGGCGGCGUGCUUAACACAUGCAAGUCGAACGGAAAGGCCCUGCUUUUGUGGGGUGCUCGAGUGGCGAACGGGUGAGUAACACGUGAGUAACCUGCCCUUGACUUUGGGAUAACUUCAGGAAACUGGGGCUAAUACCGGAUAGGAGCUCCUGCUGCAUGGUGGGGGUUGGAAAGUUUCGGCGGUUGGGGAUGGACUCGCGGCUUAUCAGCUUGUUGGUGGGGUAGUGGCUUACCAAGGCUUUGACGGGUAGCCGGCCUGAGAGGGUGACCGGCCACAUUGGGACUGAGAUACGGCCCAGACUCCUACGGGAGGCAGCAGUGGGGAAUAUUGCACAAUGGGCGGAAGCCUGACGCAGCAACUCCGCGUGCGGGAUGACGGCCUUCGGGUUGUAAACCGCUUUCGCCUGUGACGAAGCGUGAGUGACGGUAAUGGGUAAAGAAGCACCGGCUAACUACGUG
rnacentral:rRNA from 1 species